rnacentral:ribozyme from 1 species
UGCCCAGUAACUCCUAUCCCUACCUGCUUGUGGUACCGGACGGAAACUGCGAGCAACUUUGGGGAUGAUCCGGUAGCCAACUCCGGUGAAAACUUUGGUCGUAGGCUGACAUGGAAGG